UACGGAGGGGGUUAGCGUUGUUCGGAAUGACUGGGCGUAGAGCGCGCGUAGGCGGGCUGGAAAGUUGGGGGUGAAAUCCCGGGGCUCAACCCCGGAAUGGCCUUCAAAACUCCCAGCCUAGAGUUCGAGAGAGGUGAGUGGAAUUCCGAGUGUAGAGGUGAAAUUCGUAGAUAUUCGGAGGAACACCAGUGGCGAAGGCGGCUCACUGGCUCGACACUGACGCUGAGGUGCGAAAGCGGGGGGAGCAAACAGG
rnacentral:rRNA from 1 species